UACUUGGUCCAUAUGGCAGUCUGAGUCACAUCCAAGAGUGACAUAGGUCCAUCAUCACAAUGGUUUGACCUAGCUUAUCCACCUCACUACCUGGGCACCUUUCUUUGGUGCUGCUGUUGCCAUGACCAGCACCAUUGGGAAGACAAGAGUAAAGAUGGUGUACUAACCCCUGCCAACUCCUUUUCUAACUAUGGUUCUGCUAGGAGAGAAGAUUCCUAAUAGCUGCCUUUCCAUCAGUGAGUCCUACCAGAAUGUCCUAGCUACCAUCCUACUCUUGUUGGGGCUCCUUGCCUUACUGGAUAAUGCCAUCAAAAUUGCCCGCCUGAUCUGGAUUUACCUGUAUCAGUUUCUGAAGAGACUCUUCCAUUAUUUCACCACCAAAGCAUACGGAUGGAUCAAGGCUCUAACAGCCAUUUCCCGCAGCAAGAAUUCCAGUGGCCGGAAGGAGCGAGUGCUGACCAAAGGCCAGAGAAAUAUCUCCAUCUUGCACUUCCACUGCACUCUGGAUCCUCUGAGGCUAACCGUGAACAUGAACAACCUAAAUGGACUGAAAAGCCACUGUCCCCAGGGUCACAGGAAGGACAAAGGUUACCAUGGUUCCAGGCCAACCCAUCAAGACACUGAUGAUGAGAAAGCCAGUUGGUAUGGGCACCAGCAGCAACACCGCCGGGUGAACAACCGGCCUAACCCAGGUCAACGUUACUGUGACUGGGCAAGCCAGUCCAGCUCCCGUCACUCAGACAGUGACAGUCCUCAGCUAGUGUGCCCAGCCGGAUCCACUGUGUCAUCAGUGCGUUUUCAUACCAGCUCCCCAGAGCAGGUUGCCAAGGCCAGAGGCAGCUUGGCUGACUGGGGCAUUUACAUACACAACCCAAAGGGGGUCACUAGGGAUAAAGAGCUCGGCUUGGACAGUGCAGAAGAAACUACACGACGGCAGAGUUUCCUGCAUCAAUGUGCUGUUCCAAACGCAGAGGAACCCAUCAGCCUCCGUUCAGAGUGCUCUGCUGUGCACAUUCACCCCCAAGUCAAUGAGGCACACUUCAUGGCCAGCCCAAUCUUCCCAGGCCCUAAGCGGGUAGUGUACUCUGCCCUGGCUCCCACCCCAGAGUCUAGAACCUGUCUCAACAAUGAUUACUACCACUCAGUGACCCAGGCAUAUCAUCAGAGGAGUCCUGAGCACCAUUCUGGGACUGAAUUUCACCACAGCUUGCCACUGGUCCAGCGAGCCGAAGUCUACAUUUAUCUUGUCAACCCACUGCCUCUCGGCCCAGAGCACACCGCUGAACGGUCCACCCACCCCUUUUCGGCAUCUCGCACUAUCUUGGUCAAGGACACAUUGGCAAACCGGGUAUCCGUUGGCCACACCUGGGAAAAUUCCAACCAAGGCCCAGCGGGGCAGAUUAUCAGUGACACCCACACACAACGCAAGAGCAUCUGGGAGAGAAAACACCAAGCUAGCACACUGCAGCUGAGCCCAGACUAUGAGAAGCUGGCAGGAAGCAGUGAUGGUGCCAACCUGAUCCACAACCCACCUCUCCUGGCAGACACGACAAGAGGAGGUUCUGAAACAGCACCACCCAACAUUAGCAAUUGAAGGUACCAUACAACUGGAUUUACCACCCAGCUGACUUCAAUUCCUGGCAUGGAUGAGAUUCUGAUGCCUGGUGAACCCUGGGGGAUCUGAACUAGGUCAUGUUUUCAACUUUUAAUCAUUUUUGUUGCUCUUCUCUGGACUUUCUCCAAUUGUCCACAUCUUUCCUGAAAUGUGGCACCCAGAACUGGACACAAUACUCCAGUUGAGGCCUAAUCAGCGCAGAGUAGAGCAGAAGAAUUACUUCUAGUGUCUCGCUUAUGUAAGCAAAGUCAGGAUGAGCUCUACCCUGACAUCUGCUGGUGAAUUAUGGGAAGUGUGCAAAGAAUUUCAGGAAUGUGAAAUCUCAGGUAUUUGCAUGGGCACACCCAGCAUAGCCCAAGGCAGCCUAGGAUGGUUAUUUUGACAGCUCUGGGAUCCCCAAUGUCUUUGUUAUUGGGGCAGGAUAAAUAAAGUGUUGCCACCUGAUUAUGUGAAUGAGGAACUACCAGACUGCUUUAUGACAGAGAUGUCUCAAUAUAAAUUAAGUGACACUUGCUAGA